AGAGUUUGAUCCUGGCUCAGGACGAACGCUGGCGGCGUGCUUAACACAUGCAAGUCGAAGGCAGGGAGCAAUCCCCUGACUGGCGAACGGGUGCGUAACACGUGAGCGAUCUACCCUGGUGUGGGGGAUAGCCGGCCCAACGGCCGGGUAAUACCGCAUGCGUUCUCUGGGGGGCAUCCCCUGGAGAACAAAGCCUUCGGGCGCACUGGGAGGGGCUCGCGGCCUAUCAGCUAGUUGGCGGGGUAAUGGCCCACCAAGGCGACGACGGGUAGCUGGUCUGAGAGGAUGGCCAGCCACAUUGGGACUGAGAGACGGCCCAGACUCCUACGGGAGGCAGCAGUGGGGAAUCUUGCGCAAUGGGCGAAAGCCUGACGCAGCGACGCCGCGUGCGGGAGGACGGCCUUCGGGUCGUAAACCGCUGUUGCCCGGGACGAAUGCCCCUUUCGAGGGGAGUGACGGUACCGGGUGAGGAAGCACCGGCUAACUCCGUGCCAGCAGCCGCGGUAAUACGGAGGGUGCGAGCGUUGUCCGGAAUCACUGGGCGUAAAGGGCGCGUAGGCGGCUCUAGGAAGGCGGCGGUGAAAGCCCGGGGCUCAACCCCGGGUCGGCCGUGGCGACUCCUGAGCUCGAGCACAGUAGAGGCGGGUGGAAUUCCGGGUGUAGCGGUGGAAUGC
rnacentral:rRNA from 1 species